GAUGAACGCUAGCGGCAGGCCUAACACAUGCAAGUCGAACGGUAACAGGGAAAAGCUUGCUUUUCCGCUGACGAGUGGCGCACGGGUGCGUAACGCGUAUACAAUCUACCUUUUGCUGUGGGAUAGCCCAGGGAAACUUGGAUUAAUACCGCAUAGUAUAUAAGAUCGGCAUCGUUUUUAUAUUAAAGGUUACGGCAAAAGAUGAGUGUGCGUCCUAUUAGCUAGAUGGUGUGGUAACGGCACACCAUGGCGACGAUAGGUAGGGGCCCUGAGAGGGGGAUCCCCCACACUGGUACUGAGACACGGACCAGACUCCUACGGGAGGCAGCAGUGAGGAAUAUUGGGCAAUGGAGGCAACUCUGACCCAGCCAUGCCGCGUGCAGGAAGACUGCCCUAUGGGUUGUAAACUGCUUUUAUACGGGAAGAAACACCGCUACGUGUAGCGGCUGACGGUACCG
rnacentral:rRNA from 1 species